GGUUAAGCGACUAAGCGUACACGGUGGAUGCCCUGGCAGUCAGAGGCGAUGAAGGACGUGCUAAUCUGCGAUAAGCGUCGGUAAGGUGAUAUGAACCGUUAUAACCGGCGAUUUCCGAAUGGGGAAACCCAGUGUGACUCGUCACACUAUCAUUAACUGAAUCCAUAGGUUAAUGAGGCGAACCGGGGGAACUGAAACAUCUAAGUACCCCGAGGAAAAGAAAUCAACCGAGAUUCCCCCAGUAGCGGCGAGCGAACGGGGAGCAGCCCAGAGCCUGAAUCAGUGUGUGUGUUAGUGGAAGCGUCUGGAAAGGCGCGCGAUACAGGGUGACAGCCCCGUACACAAAAAUGCACAUGCUGUGAGCUCGAUGAGUAGGGCGGGACACGUGGUAUCCUGUCUGAAUAUGGGGGGACCAUCCUCCAAGGCUAAAUACUCCUGACUGACCGAUAGUGAACCAGUACCGUGAGGGAAAGGCGAAAAGAACCCCGGCGAGGGGAGUGAAAAAGAACCUGAAACCGUGUACGUACAAGCAGUGGGAGCCUCUUUAUGGGGUGACUGCGUACCUUUUGUAUAAUGGGUCAGCGACUUAUAUUCUGUAGCAAGGUUAACCGAAUAGGGGAGCCGAAGGGAAACCGAGUCUUAACUGGGCGUUAAGUUGCAGGGUAUAGACCCGAAACCCGGUGAUCUAGCCAUGGGCAGGUUGAAGGUUGGGUAACACUAACUGGAGGACCGAACCGACUAAUGUUGAAAAAUUAGCGGAUGACUUGUGGCUGGGGGUGAAAGGCCAAUCAAACCGGGAGAUAGCUGGUUCUCCCCGAAAGCUAUUUAGGUAGCGCCUCGUGAAUUCAUCUCCGGGGGUAGAGCACUGUUUCGGCAAGGGGGUCAUCCCGACUUACCAACCCGAUGCAAACUGCGAAUACCGGAGAAUGUUAUCACGGGAGACACACGGCGGGUGCUAACGUCCGUCGUGAAGAGGGAAACAACCCAGACCGCCAGCUAAGGUCCCAAAGUCAUGGUUAAGUGGGAAACGAUGUGGGAAGGCCCAGACAGCCAGGAUGUUGGCUUAGAAGCAGCCAUCAUUUAAAGAAAGCGUAAUAGCUCACUGGUCGAGUCGGCCUGCGCGGAAGAUGUAACGGGGCUAAACCAUGCACCGAAGCUGCGGCAGCGACGCUUAUGCGUUGUUGGGUAGGGGAGCGUUCUGUAAGCCUGUGAAGGUGUACUGUGAGGUAUGCUGGAGGUAUCAGAAGUGCGAAUGCUGACAUAAGUAACGAUAAAGCGGGUGAAAAGCCCGCUCGCCGGAAGACCAAGGGUUCCUGUCCAACGUUAAUCGGGGCAGGGUGAGUCGACCCCUAAGGCGAGGCCGAAAGGCGUAGUCGAUGGGAAACAGGUUAAUAUUCCUGUACUUGGUGUUACUGCGAAGGGGGGACGGAGAAGGCUAUGUUGGCCGGGCGACGGUUGUCCCGGUUUAAGCGUGUAGGCUGGUUUUCCAGGCAAAUCCGGAAAAUCAAGGCUGAGGCGUGAUGACGAGGCACUACGGUGCUGAAGCAACAAAUGCCCUGCUUCCAGGAAAAGCCUCUAAGCAUCAGGUAACAUCAAAUCGUACCCCAAACCGACACAGGUGGUCAGGUAGAGAAUACCAAGGCGCUUGAGAGAACUCGGGUGAAGGAACUAGGCAAAAUGGUGCCGUAACUUCGGGAGAAGGCACGCUGAUAUGUAGGUGAAGCGACUUGCUCGUGGAGCUGAAAUCAGUCGAAGAUACCAGCUGGCUGCAACUGUUUAUUAAAAACACAGCACUGUGCAAACACGAAAGUGGACGUAUACGGUGUGACGCCUGCCCGGUGCCGGAAGGUUAAUUGAUGGGGUUAGCGGUAACGCGAAGCUCUUGAUCGAAGCCCCGGUAAACGGCGGCCGUAACUAUAACGGUCCUAAGGUAGCGAAAUUCCUUGUCGGGUAAGUUCCGACCUGCACGAAUGGCGUAAUGAUGGCCAGGCUGUCUCCACCCGAGACUCAGUGAAAUUGAACUCGCUGUGAAGAUGCAGUGUACCCGCGGCAAGACGGAAAGACCCCGUGAACCUUUACUAUAGCUUGACACUGAACAUUGAGCCUUGAUGUGUAGGAUAGGUGGGAGGCUUUGAAGUGUGGACGCCAGUCUGCAUGGAGCCGACCUUGAAAUACCACCCUUUAAUGUUUGAUGUUCUAACGUUGGCCCCUGAUCGGGGUUGCGGACAGUGUCUGGUGGGUAGUUUGACUGGGGCGGUCUCCUCCUAAAGAGUAACGGAGGAGCACGAAGGUUGGCUAAUCCUGGUCGGACAUCAGGAGGUUAGUGCAAUGGCAUAAGCCAGCUUGACUGCGAGCGUGACGGCGCGAGCAGGUGCGAAAGCAGGUCAUAGUGAUCCGGUGGUUCUGAAUGGAAGGGCCAUCGCUCAACGGAUAAAAGGUACUCCGGGGAUAACAGGCUGAUACCGCCCAAGAGUUCAUAUCGACGGCGGUGUUUGGCACCUCGAUGUCGGCUCAUCACAUCCUGGGGCUGAAGUAGGUCCCAAGGGUAUGGCUGUUCGCCAUUUAAAGUGGUACGCGAGCUGGGUUUAGAACGUCGUGAGACAGUUCGGUCCCUAUCUGCCGUGGGCGCUGGAGAACUGAGGGGGGCUGCUCCUAGUACGAGAGGACCGGAGUGGACGCAUCACUGGUGUUCGGGUUGUCAUGCCAAUGGCACUGCCCGGUAGCUAAAUGCGGAAGAGAUAAGUGCUGAAAGCAUCUAAGCACGAAACUUGCCCCGAGAUGAGUUCUCCCUGACUCCUUGAGAGUCCUGAAGGAACGUUGAAGACGACGACGUUGAUAGGCCGGGUGUGUAAGCGCAGCGAUGCGUUGAGCUAACCGGUACUAAUGAACCGUGAGGCUUAACCUU
rnacentral:rRNA from 1 species